rnacentral:lncRNA from 1 species
AGAAAUCACCCGUCUUCUGCGUCAAUCACGCUGAGAACUGCAGACCAGAGCUGUUCCUAUUUGGCCAUCUUGGAACCGGUCUGAGUCUGUUUUAGCCAGAUCAAGUACUUGGUGAGAGAACCUUUGUGGGAGCGCAGAAGUCCAGCAGAGAGACCCUAGCACUUUAUUUGGACCAAAAAAUAAAUAAUAAAUAAAUAAAUAAAUAAAUCCAAAACUAGAUGCAUUAAAGAAGGUUAGACUUCUCCUAUGGAGAAUGCAGCAAGAAAAUACCAUCUUGAAGCAGAGAGCAGCGCUCAUCAGGCAUCAGUCCUUCUGGAGCCUUGAUCUUGGACCUCCCAGCUCCAAAAUAAUAAGUAAUAAAUUGUUAUUGCUUAUAAAUUA